rnacentral:rRNA from 1 species
AUGGUCAGAGGAAAAGCAACUAAUGGUGGCUGCCAACAAUUAAUCUUCAGAACGUGCAGAGUGCUUCUCAAGCUCAUCGCAUGUCUUCUUAUCUAUGUCUUAAACUGUGAAGAUAUAUACAAGGUUUUGGGUCGAAAUAUAAGCAUCCAAGUUGGCAUUGGAAGAGUCACAGUCGUGGUUGAUUCACGAGACCCGAGGCCAACUCUCUGUUUGUCCAUGGCAUGGCAAAACAGGAGCAGCUUGAUGCCAAAAUCUCUAUCUAGUAUAAAGAAAUGGCACCAUCUAUGUAACCAUGCAUAG